AGUCUGACGGAGCACGCCGCGUGAGUGAUGAAGGUUUUCGGAUCGUAAAGCUCUGUUGUUAGGGAAGAACAAGUACCGUUCGAAUAGGGCGGUACCUUGACGGUACCUAACCAGAAAGCCACGGCUAACUACGUGCCAGCAGCCGCGGUAAUACGUAGGUGGCAAGCGUUGUCCGGAAUUAUUGGGCGUAAAGGGCUCGCAGGCGGUUUCUUAAGUCUGAUGUGAAAGCCCCCGGCUCAACCGGGGAGGGUCAUUGGAAACUGGGGAACUUGAGUGCAGAAGAGGAGAGUGGAAUUCCACGUGUAGCGGUGAAAUGCGUAGAGAUGUGGAGGAACACCAGUGGCGAAGGCGACUCUCUGGUCUGUAACUGACGCUGAGGAGCGAAAGCGUGGGGAGCGAACAGGAUUAGAUACCCUGGUAGUCCACGCCGUAAACGAUGAGUGCUAAGUGUUAGGGGGUUUCCGCCCCUUAGUGCUGCAGCUAACGCAUUAAGCACUCCGCCUGGGGAGUACGGUCGCAAGACUGAAACUCAAAGGAAUUGACGGGGGCCCGCACAAGCGGUGGAGCAUGUGGUUUAAUUCGAAGCAACGCGAAGAACCUUACCAGGUCUUGACAUCCUCUGACAAUCCUAGAGAUAGGACGUCCCCUUCGGGGGCAGAGUGACAGGUGGUGCAUGGUUGUCGUCAGCUCGUGUCGUGAGAUGUUGGGUUAAGUCCCGCAACGAGCGCAACCCUUGAUCUUAGUUGCCAGCAUUCAGUUGGGCACUCUAAGGUGACUGCCGGUGACAAACCGGAGGAAGGUGGGGAUGACGUCAAAUCAUCAUGCCCCUUAUGACCUGGGCUACACACGUGCUACAAUGGACAGAACAAAGGGCAGCGAAACCGCGAGGUUAAGCCAAUCCCACAAAUCUGUUCUCAGUUCGGAUCGCAGUCUGCAACUCGACUGCGUGAAGCUGGAAUCGCUAGU
rnacentral:rRNA from 1 species